GUGGGGAAUAUUGGGCAAUGGGCGAAAGCCUGACCCAGCAACGCCGCGUGAAGGAAGAAGGUCUUCGGAUCGUAAACUUCUAUCCUUGGUGAAGAUAAUGACGGUAGCCGAGAAGGAAGCCCCGGCUAACUACGUGCCAGCAGCCGCGGUAAUACGUAGGGGGCAAGCGUUGUCCGGAAUGAUUGGGCGUAAAGGGCGCGUAGGCGGCCUGGUAAGUCUGGAGUGAAAGUCCUGCUUUUAAGGUGGGAAUUGCUUUGGAUACUGUCGGGCUUGAGUGGAGGAGAGGUAAGCGGAAUUCCCGGUGUAGCGGUGAAAUGCGUAGAGAUCGGGAGGAACACCAGUGGCGAAGGCGGCUUACUGGACUGUAACUGACGCUGAGGCGCGAAAGUGUGGGGAGCAAACAGGAUUAGAAACCCCGGUAGUCC
rnacentral:rRNA from 1 species